rnacentral:rRNA from 1 species
CAGUCGCCGCGGUAAGACAGAGGAUGCAAGCGUUAUCUGGAAUGAUUGGGCGUAAAGCGUCUGUAGGUGGCUUUUCAAGUCCGCCGUCAAAUCUCAGGGCUCAACCCUGGACAGGCGGUGGAAACUACCAAGCUGGAGUACUGUAGGGGCAGAGGGAAUUUCCGGUGGAGCGGUGAAAUGCGUUGAGAUCGAAAAGAACACCAACGGCGAAAGCACUCUGCUGGGCCGACACUGACACUGAGAGACGAAAGCUAGGGGAGCAAAUGGGAUUAGAUACCCCUGUAGUCCCUGUCUCUUAUAA